rnacentral:rRNA from 1 species
AUUGAACGCUGGCGGCAGGCCUAACACAUGCAAGUCGAGCGGAUGACGGGAGCUUGCUCCUUGAUUCAGCGGCGGACGGGUGAGUAAUGCCUAGGAAUCUGCCUGGUAGUGGGGGACAACGUUUCGAAAGGAACGCUAAUACCGCAUACGUCCUACGGGAGAAAGCAGGGGACCUUCGGGCCUUGCGCUAUCAGAUGAGCCUAGGUCGGAUUAGCUAGUUGGUGAGGUAAUGGCUCACCAAGGCGACGAUCCGUAACUGGUCUGAGAGGAUGAUGCGUCACACUGGAACUGAGACACGGUCCAGACUCCUACGGGAGGCAGCAGUGGGGAAUAUUGGACAAUGGGCGAAAGCCUGAUCCAGCCAUGCCGCGUGUGUGAAGAAGGUCUUCGGAUUGUAAAGCACUUUAAGUUGGGAGGAAGGGCAGUAAGUUAAUACCUUGCUGUUUUGACGUUACCAACAGAAUAAGCACCGGCUAACUUCGUGCCAGCCGCCGCCGUAACAC